rnacentral:rRNA from 1 species
UACGUAGGAUGCAAGCGUUGUCCGGAAUUAUUGGGCGUAAAGAGCUCGUAGGCGGUCUGUCGCGUCUGCUGUGAAAUCCCGAGGCUCAACCUCGGGCUUGCAGUGGGUACGGGCAGGCUAGAGUGCGGUAGGGGAGAAUGGAACUCCUGGUGUAGCGGUGGAAUGCGCAGAUAUCAGGAAGAACACCGAUGGCGAAGGCAGUUCUCUGGGCCGUAACUGACGCUGAGGAGCGAAAGCGUGGGGAGCGAACAGG